ACCCUUCGAUCAGCGGAGGGUUAUUGAACCGAAAGGCACCAGGGCGUGGAAGGAGGUUAGUUGGGACGGGACAGGGCAUCGCACACCAAUCCUCACAGAGUUGGGGAUUUGUUUGCGAUUCGCCUACCCGGCGAUGGUUACAGAGGGCGGUCAAGAGAUAGCUGCUCAUUACUGGGCUCAUUGGGAUCUCAAGCCGUACGGGAACGACGGGACACACACAAGCAAAGUGUGGGAUUUGUUUUGGGGCCAAUUUCGCGUGUGCGACCCCUAUACCUUGGAUGAUUCAUAUGUGCGUGAGGUAUUCAAUGGCUCAGCAGAUAGAGCUGUAAAGGGUAUGAUGUAUAAAGCACGAUUGAGGGCCGUCACGGUGUACCAAAAGCGUUAGGGGAACUAUUGUGACGCGAAUAUGGCAAAGGAAAUUCACCUGACGGCUCAGCAGUACAAAGAGAGUGAGGUGGAUUGGUUGAGCCACCAUUCGGAUGCUUGGGCGUGGAUGUGCGAGUAUUGGGCUUCUGAGGAGUUCUUGGCCAUAUCUAAUAGAAAUCGUAUGAAUCGGUUGAGCAAGCCAGGGGUCCACUUCUUCGGGGCAGAUGGACACAUUGGCAAGGCCGCACGUAUGGCGGCUCGAAAUGGAGUGGAGC